CGUAUAAUAGAAAGGUCUCUCCACAAAACCCGGGGAAGAUAGAUUAAAGGUGCGUAGGAGGAUCUAGAGACAAAGAGAACAUUCAGGGUUACUGAAUGUACAGAAAAGGAUGAUGGUUCUUGAACAAGUGAGUAAGGAUUUGGGAGAUAUUUAGGAAGCAGAUUCACAAUACUGAGCUUUCAUUAGAGAGAGGGUAGAGGCAAUGGAAGAAUGUAAUAUGACUCACAGCAAUCUAGUCUGGUUGUGCCAGUCAUGGACAACAGCAGUAUAGGUGCAGUGGCUUUGGGGGAAAGAAUGAAUUAUAGUUUAGAGAUGCUUGGAAGUCACUAAUGUGUAAACGUAUAAAAGACAAGUGUAUAUAUAGGUCUGGAACUAAAAAUAAGUCUUGGCUGGAGAUAAAUAAUUGAGGAUUAUUUGCAUUUUCAUGGAGAGCAGACCAUGAAACAUUUACCAGUCCACACUGCAUGUGAUCCAAUCUUGGCCAUGGACCCUGGGCACAGUCUGCAUGGUUUCUCCUGGAGGGGGGCGGGUGUCCCCUUUGAUAAGAGAUACAAGAAGAGAUCCCACUACCAGUCUUUCUGCCUUUGGACUACAUUGAAUGAGGAAGUGAUGCCUUGGGAUGAAAGCUAACAUGAUCCAGAAUUCACCCUGCUGUUUCUCCAUGAGUCUGACCUGCAUCAACUGCCUCCCUUAUUCUGGGAUUCCAGUUGUGGAGCUCAAGGACAAGUCCAUUCUGGGCUGGCUGUAUCCAACUUCUUUAGUCCAACUAUAUCCCCACUGGAAGCCAGGCUCUUUCCAACAGCUGUCACCCAUGCCUCUUUCUAUGUUUGUUAUCUGUCUCUAGGUUCUGGUAACUACUUCCUUCCCUUGCCCCUUCUGGCCUAGGGUGCUACAAAUCCCUCCUCCAAAUCCAACUGUCACUAGCCUCAAAGUACUUGUAGCUUCCUCACCUUACUUUCACCUUAAUAAAUAGUCCCCCUACUAUCUCUCUUCAAAGCACCCAAUUUGAGUGUGCCAUCUGUUUCUUGCCAGGAUCCUGGUUGGUACAUCAACCAAGCUGCACAGAUGGAGGAGCACUGUGCUGAACUUUAGGAAUGAAGCCACAGGGCCCUCACUGCCCCCAUAGUCACGUUGGUCAUCUUCUGCCUCCCUGAAAGACUAAAUUCACUCAGUUCAGAUACAUACACAUCCAGACAUGUCAGGGAAAACUCCAUUUUGUAAGGAUCUCUGCUUAAAAUGCCAAAGGUUUGAAAGUUGGCAAACACUUGAGAAAAGCACAGUUCUCUGUCUUACUCUUACUCUAAACUUGGAGAUAUAUGCAUUUUUAAAAUUGUUCAUGUUAGAAUGCUAACGUGUACAAGAUCGUGCCUGGUGAGACACCACAAACAAUAUUUUAUGAGGCCAAAAUAAGAAAGAAGGAAAUGAAAUAGCUCAGGAAUCUCAGGAAGAGCUCAUCAAACACUUUGCCUUUAUCUCAGACCAUUUUAUCCACAGCCCUGCUAAUCAGGAUUGUAUAUACCUCCAUGAGGGAGUCUUAAACGGAGGGAAAGAGAUGCCACAACUAAAGAAAAGAAUGCAAUAGAAGUUUGUCUUGAUGCCUGUUCUGUGAUGCACAACUUUCGUAAGCCAAAAUUUUAACCUUAUGAACAAUCAGUUCUGUGCUGCCCUUAGCAGAGAACCAUAAAUUAAAGAUAAGCAAUGGUUCAGACUUUCCAGGGCCUUGACUCAGGAGUAACUCUGAAAUCCCAACCAAAUAUGUAUUUGGUUAAGCAAUUUGGCACAUUUUUCUAUUUUGAGGCAUUAAACUAUAAUUACAAGUCACUUUUAUUUCAUUCCAAAUAAAUCUCCCUAAAGUAGAUAGAACUAGAGGUUUCCUUUUUUAAAAAAAAGGAAACAGGAAAACAACAAACAAAACCAAAAAGAACAAAAGCAAAACAAAACUUAGUCAAGCUAACAAAUUGCAUGUAUGAUGUGUUUUAUAAUUUGAUCAAUAUGAAAAAUAGAGUGUGCUAGUGCCUCAGGAGGACUCAGAGGACUCAAAUACUCAAUAGGUUAUCUGGAGGAAUUUCUCAUUGGAGAAAAAAAUUAAAGUUCUUUUGAACAACCCACAUAAUCAAGAUAGUAAUAAUUUAACCUCAAGUUUUUCCUUGAUUAAAAAAUCCCUUUGCUAUUCUGCUCCAGUGUUUGUAAUAGAUGGUUCAACAAGACUGGUGUUUUGUUAGUUGGAAAAGUAAGCUGAUAUGAGGGGUGGGGAGAGGAAGGGCAGAAAUUUAUUAACAAUCAGCAAGUAAAGAAAAACAGCCUGCAAAUUGUAAUGAAAGGAAGAAAGGACAGGAAAGGAAAGGUAGGGCUGGUGGAGAGUGACUGUUCUGCCUGCUUACUGCACAGGCCAAGAACAAACUCACGAUAAAUACUCCAGGUCCUCAAGAAAAAGGUUUCUGUGCUGAAUUAUGGUAGUCUACCUGAAAUUGGGAUGAUGAAUUAGAAAACCUCUCUCAUCGCUUCAAGUCUUGUGAUUUAUUC
rnacentral:lncRNA from 1 species